AUUGAACGCUGGCGGCAUGGCUAAAACAUGCAAGUCGAGCGCGAAAGUGGAGCAAUCCAUGAGUAGAGCGGCGAAAGGGUGAGUAAUGCGUUCCUACGUACCUCAAGGUCAGGAAUAGCCAGGGGAACUACUGGGUAAUACCUGAUGUGAUCGAGAGAUCAAAGGCUUGCCGCCUUGAGAGCGGGACGGUCCUAUCAGGUAGUUGGUGAGGUAACGGCUCACCAACGCCAUUGACGGGUAGGCGGGUGGUGAGAGCAUGG
rnacentral:rRNA from 1 species